UGUAAAGAUGGAGAUGGGAGAGGGCCUCUCUUUCCUUAGAAACCCUGGUUACCUGCUGCUACCCACACUGUUGGCAACAGCAUCUGUUUCAAUAGGUAAAGCAGGCUUAGCUGGAUGGUAUCCGUGGAGCCCAGCCCUUUGGUUCUUGGAGCCCACUCAGUUUUAAUUGGGAUGAAAAAGGCUUGCCUGAAAGCUGCUAUUUUUCCUGCAGGACACGGUUCCUUUGGACAGAAGGUCGCAUGCUGCUGCCCUUCAGUCCCAACACGCUGCUGCUGGCAGCACAGACAGACCUGUG
ensembl:lncRNA